ACGUGAUCUGAGUUCAGACCGGAGUAAUCCAGGUCGGUUUCUAUCUAUAUCAGAGCUUCUUCUAGUACGAAAGGACCGAAAAAGCAUAGCCAAUACUUAAAGCAAGCCAUCUUUAACAAUUUAUGAUUUAAACUUAAUUAAUAAUUUAUCUUAAAAAUUACUCAAGAAAAGAGA
rnacentral:rRNA from 1 species